CUCCUCCCUUGUCAUCUGGGGAGGAACCAGCAGCUGCUGCUCCCCAGCCGGGUCUGUGCAGGGGAGAGACCUUCAUUAAAGCUCCUUCUGUGCCCAGCCCAGGUGGGGAUUUUUUGGAACUAGCCCCUGGGGCAUCCCCAGGCUCUGCCAACACCAGCUCCUGAGCCGGAGACUCCAGAAGGUGAUGGGACAGUGAGUGAGAACGAAGGAGGAGAAUCCUCAGCAGAAAAUCCUCAGCAAGUGUAACUGCGUGGGAUGUUAUCAAGAAGAACUGAAGGGAAUUUCUUCCAGAGUCGUAAGAGAGGCAGCUAGGAAAAAGGUGGAUAAAUCUAUUUAUUGUGGGAGUGGCUGUGGGAAUCUCAAGGAAACUACAGCCCAGCAAGGAAUCCAAAUGGGAGAGAGAAAAAACACAUCCACUGAGUUUGGGAAAAGUUUUAAUGACAGCUCACAUCUUCCUAGACAUCAGAGAACGCUCAUGGGGGAAAGACCCUUCAAGUGCUCGGACUGUGGGAAAAGCUUCAGUCUGAGCUCAAACCUUCUUACCCACCAGAGAACCCACACGGGAGAGCGACCCUAUAAAUGCUUGGACUGUGGAAAAAGUUUCAGCCUGAGCUCAAACCUUCUUACACACCGGCGACACCACACGGGAGAGCGACCCUAUAAAUGCUUGGACUGCGGGAAAAGUUUCAUUCAGAGCUCCGAUCUUAUUUCACAUCAAAGACUCCACACGGGAGAGAGACCCUAUAAAUGCCUUGACUGUGGGAAAAGUUUUAUUCAGAGCUCACACCUUAUUAGACAUCAGAGUCUCCAUUUAGGAGAGAAACCCCAUAAGUGCCUCAUCUGUGGGAAAAAUUUCACUCAGAAGUCACACCUUAUUAGACACCAGGGAAUUCACACAGGAGAGGAGCCCUGUAAGUGCCCUGACUGUGGGGAAACAUUCGUUCAGAGCUCACAGCUUAUUGUGCAUCAGAGAAUCCAUACGGGAGAGAAACCUUUUAAAUGCUUGGACUGUGGGAAAACCUUCAGUCGGAGUUCCCACCUUAUUGUACAUCAGAGAACCCACACAGGAGAGAAGCCGUAUAAAUGCUUUGACUGUGGCAAAAGUUUUAGUGUCAACUCAAACCUUAUUACACAUCAGAGGACCCACACAGGAGAGAGGCCCUAUAAGUGUCUGGACUGUGGGAAAAGUUUCCAGCGGAGCUCACAUCUUAUUAAACAUCAGAAAACCCACACAGCAAAGAGGACCUGAAUGUGGGUGACUCUUCACAUCGGGCUAUGAUCAUAACAGGCUUCUGCAAAUCCAUACAAGAUAGAGACCUCCUAAACGUCCUCUGUGUGGCAAAUGUUUCAAGCAGAAUUCACAUCAUAUUGGACAUGAGAGACUCCACACAGCAGAGAAAUUGUAGCGGGCUGCCAGCCUCUGUUGUUGUUAGCUUUCUGUUUAAUGCUUGUCUCUUCUAAGUGCUCUAAAACUUGCAUGGUUACUCGGAUUGCUCUGAUAUUUGGUGUACCUCAUGGGUUCAUGGGGUAGAGUUAGUGAAAUAAAAUUGGGGUCACUUGAAUA